CCCGCCUGCCCUGUGACCAUUUGUUUAACGGCCGCGGUAUUUUGACCGUGCGAAGGUAGCGCAAUCACUUGUCUUUUAAAUGAAGACCUGUAUGAAUGGCAUAACGAGGGCUAAGCUGUCUCCUUUAUCCAGUCAAUGAAAUUGAUCUGCCCGUGCAGAAGCGAGCAUAAAAACAUAAGACGAGAAGACCCUAUGGAGCUUUAGACACCAGGACAGCUUGUGUUAAACAACCUUAAUUAAAAGACUAAACCAAGCAAAAACUGUCCCCUUGUCUUCGGUUGGGGCGACCGCGGGGUAACAAGCAACCCCCACGUGGAACAAGGACACCUCCUUUAAAAAUAGGGCCACAGCCCUAAUAAACAGAAAAUCUGACCAACAAUGAUCCGGCACGCCGAUCAACGGACCGAGUUACCCUAGGGAUAACAGCGCAAUCCUCUUUUAGAGCCCAUAUCGACAAGAGGGUUUACGACCUCGAUGUUGGAUCAGGACAUCCUAAUGGUGCAGCCGCUAUUAAGGGUUCGUUUGUUCAACGAUUAAAGUCCUACGUGAUCUG
rnacentral:rRNA from 1 species